GUUGUAUGGUUAAGAGACAAAGCGUACAAGGUGGAUGCCUUGGCAAUCAGAGGCGAAGAAGGACGUGCUAAUCUGCGAAAAGCUCGGAUGAGUCGAUAAGAGGCGUUUAAUCCGAGAUAUCCGAAUGGGGAAACCCAGUGGGUGAAGAACCCACUAUCAUUACCUGAAUCCAUAGGGUAAUGAGGCGAACCGGGAGAACUGAAACAUCUAAGUACCCCGAGGAAAAGAAAUCAACCGAGAUUUUGUGAGUAGCGGCGAGCGAAAGCGAAAGAGCCUGUUAGUGAUAGCGACAGAGACAGAGGAAUGUGCUGGGAAGCACAGCGAGACAGGGUGAUAGCCCCGUACUCGAAGUCUGGGUCGUGGUACUAAGCUAACGAGAAGUAGGGCGGGACACGUGAUAUCCUGUUUGAAGAAGGGGGGCCCAUCCUCCAAGGCUAAAUACUCCUGAUUGACCGAUAGUGAAGCAGUACUGUGAAGGAAAGGCGAAAAGAACCGGGGUGACCGGAGUGAAAUAGAACCUGAAACCUUGUACGUACAAGCAGUGGGAGCCCGAAAGGGUGACUGCGUACCUUUUGUAUAAUGGGUCAGCGAGUUAUAUUUUGUAGCGAGGUUAACCGGAUAGGGGAGCCGAAGGGAAACCGAGUCUUAACUGGGCGCUUAGUUGCAAGGUAUAGACCCGAAACCCGGUGAUCUAGCCAUGGGCAGGUUGAAGGUUGGGUAACACUAACUGGAGGACCGAACCGACUAAUGUUGAAAAAUUAGCGGAUGACUUGUGGCUGGGGGUGAAAGGCCAAUCAAACCGGGAGAUAGCUGGUUCUCCCCGAAAUCUAUUUAGGUAGAGCCUUGAGCGGACACCUUUGGGGGUAGAGCACUGUUUCGGCUAGGGGGCCAUCCCGGCUUACCCAACCCGAUGCAAACUACGAAUACCGAAGAGUGAUACUCAGGAGACACACGGCGGGUGCUAACGUCCGUCGUGGAGAGGGAAACAACCCAGACCGCCAGCUAAGGUCCCAAAGUACUAAUUAAGUGGGAAACGAAGUGGGAAGGCUUAGACAGCUAGGAUGUUGGCUUAGAAGCAGCCAUCAUUUAAAGAAAGNGUAAUAGCUCACUAGUCGAGUCGGCCUGCGCGGAAGAUAUAACGGGGCUAAAAUUAGUCACCGAAGCUGCGGCAUCAGGCGUAUCACUAAUACGCCUUACGAUUAACAACUUGCGNAACGAAAGANAAGCAAGUUGGUCAAGCNCCCAAACCACGUUGAGACGGAAGUCAUGACGGGAAGUGCGGGUUGGGAAUUGAGGAAUAUUAGUGAUACGCCUGUUGGGUAGGGGAGCGUUGUGUAAGCGGAAGAAGGUGUAUUGAGAAGUAUGCUGGACGUAUCACAAGUGCGAAUGCUGACAUAAGUAACGAUAAAACGGGUGAAAAACCCGUUCGCCGGAAGACCAAGGGUUCCUGUCCAACGUUAAUCGGGGCAGGGUGAGUCGGCCCCUAAGGCGAGGCUGAAAAGCGUAGUCGAUGGGAAACGGGUUAAUAUUCCCGUACUUGGUAAAGCUGCGAUGUGGGGACGGAGCAGGUUAGGUUAGCGUACUGUUGGAUAUGUACGUUUAAGUUGGUAGGUGGGGAGCUUAGGCAAAUCCGGGUUCCUAUUAACACUGAGAGAUGAUGACGAGACUCUACGGAGUUGAAGUAACCGAUACCACACUUCCAGGAAAAGCCACUAAGCGAAAGGCUUUACUAAACCGUACUGAAAACCGACACAGGUGGUCAGGUAGAGAAUACUCAGGCGCUUGAGAGAACUCGGGUGAAGGAACUAGGCAAAAUAGCACCGUAACUUCGGGAGAAGGUGCGCCGGCGUAGAUUGUAAGGGCUUGCCCCUGAAGGUUGAACCGGUCGAAGAUACCAGCUGGCUGCAACUGUUUACUAAAAACACAGCACUCUGCAAACACGAAAGUGGAGGUAUAGGGUGUGAUGCCUUGCCCGGUGCUGGAAGGUUAAUUGAUGGUGUAAUCGAAAGAGAAGCUCCUGAUCGAAGCCCCAGUAAACGGCGGCCGUAACUAUAACGGUCCUAAGGUAGCGAAAUUCCUUGUCGGGUAAGUUCCGACCUGCACGAAUGGCAUAAUGAUGGCCAGGCUGUCUCCACCCGAGACUCAGUGAAAUUGAAAUCGCCGUGAAGAUGCGGUGUACCCGCGGCUAGACGGAAAGACCCCGUGAACCUUUACUAUAGCUUGACACUGAACAUUGAAUUUUGAUGUGUAGGAUAGGUGGGAGACUAUGAAGUAGUGACGCCAGUCAUUAUGGAGUCGACGUUGAAAUACCACCCUUUAACGUUUGAUGUUCUAACGAGACAUCGAUUACAGGUGUUCGGACAGUGUCUGGUGGGUAGUUUGACUGGGGCGGUCUCCUCCCAAAGCGUAACGGAGGAGCACGAAGGUUUGCUAAUCACGGUCGGACAUCGUGAGGUUAGUGCAAUGGUAUAAGCAAGCUUAACUGCGAGACGGACAGGUCGGGCAGGUACGAAAGUAGGUCAUAGUGAUCCGGUGGUUCUGCAUGGAAGGGCCAUCGCUCAACGGAUAAAAGGUACUCCGGGGAUAACAGGCUGAUACCGCCCAAGAGUUCAUAUCGACGGCGGUGUUUGGCACCUCGAUGUCGGCUCAUCACAUCCUGGGGCUGAAGUAGGUCCCAAGGGUAUGGCUGUUCGCCAUUUAAAGUGGUACGCGAGCUGGGUUUAGAACGUCGUGAGACAGUUCGGUCCCUAUCUGCCGUGGGCGUAGGAGAAUUGGUUGGGGCUGCUCCUAGUACGAGAGGACCGGAGUGGACGCACCGCUGGUGUUCCGGUUGUGUCGCCAGACGCAUAGCCGGGUAGCUAAGUGCGGGAGAGAUAAGUGCUGAAAGCAUCUAAGCACGAAACUUGCCAAGAGAUGAGUUCUCCCAGACUUUAGGUCUGUAAGGGUUGUUAAAGACUAUGACGUAGAUAGGCGUGGUGUGUAAGCGUAGUGAUAUGUUGAGCUAACACGUACUAAUUGCCCGAGGGGCUUAGCCAUACAACGCUCAAG
rnacentral:rRNA from 1 species